UCAGACUCUGACCCCUGAAUCUGAACCUAAGAAGCCUGCAGGUGAGUGACGGUAAAAGGAAUUCAACACAGAAAUGAAUGAGGAGAAAUUUGAAAAUAUGCACAAUGCACCCACGGGCAUGGUAAUAAACAUUGUGCUUCUGGAAAGUACAGUAAAAAGAAGCCUGCACUGUGCCCAAAAGAAAGCGUAGGAGAGCAGAGAGUCAGCAUGGGAAAAGAAAGAAGAAGCAGAGCAAGCAAAGCAGCAGUGGGAAAAAAAGUCCUUUAUCGUGUACAAGC
rnacentral:lncRNA from 1 species